ACCGCGUAGCUCAGUUGAGAGCAUUGGGCUAGUAUUCCAAAGGUCGUAGGUUCGAAUCCCACCGUGGCCG